CUACGGAGGGGGUUAGCGUUGUUCGGAAUUACUGGGCGUAAAGCGUACGUAGGCGGAUCGGAAAGUAAGGGGUGAAAUCCCAGGGCUCAACCCUGGAACUGCCUCUUAAACUCCCGGUCUUGAGUUCGAGAGAGGUGAGUGGAAUUCCUAGUGUAGAGGUGAAAUUCGUAGAUAUUAGGAGGAACACCAGUGGCGAAGGCGGCUCACUGGCUCGAUACUGACGCUGAGGUACGAAAGUGUGGGGAGCAAACAGGAUUAGAUACCCCAGUAGUCC
rnacentral:rRNA from 1 species